GGUCUGGUGGUCUAGUGGUAUGAUUCUCGCUUAGGGCAAACCCUACAGCACAGCUUGCGAGAGGUCCCGGGUUCAAUCCCCGGCCAGACCC
rnacentral:tRNA from 2 species